UGCUGCCCACGGGACAAUGGUUGGCCAGGUGACUCUGCUGGCCUUGGCUGGGCUCUUUCAUGUCUGGGCAUGGCUGGCUGAUGGCCGAUCUAGACUGGUCACGGCUUGACAGAUGAAGCAACUCUACUCCACAUUAUCUCUUAUCCUGUGCGUGGGCCCAGGCUUGAGGCAUCCUCGUGGCAAGGGCAGAAAUGCAAAUAAAUCCAAUCUUGGAAGCAAACCACGCUUCCGCACCCCGCCUCCCCCAUCACAUCUGCUAACAUCCUACUGGCCAGAACGAGUCACAUGGUGGAGCUUGGAGUCCAAGUCAGAGGCACCCGUAAGUUACACGUCAGGGAGGGUGUCUAGGGAGGGUUAAGAGAGACCAUCAUUGCAACUGCCUACAACAUAUGUUCUGUCUUUGUGUAUUCAGAUGCAGUAAGCUGGUUUCAUGCAAGAUGGCUGCCAGGGCUCCAGCCCCACAUCCUCCAGGUGGCACGGGUGAGACACCUGUGGACAGCACAGGUGAACUCUCUAUUUUAGCAGCUCCAGAAGAAUCUCAGAGUCUCUCUGGCUCCAAUGAGUCACAUGCCCAGUCUCUUACCAAAUCACUAAGGCUAAGGGACCACAGAGUUCUGAUUGGCCCCUCCUGAGUCACCUGCCCACUUUUGAGCUGGGGUGGAGUCAAUCCUACCUAAUUUAUAUGGACUGAGGUUCAGGGAGGGUGGCUCACCGGAGGACUAUCAAGGAUGCUACAGAAGGUGGCUGACUUAGGUUAGGUAGCCCCAGAAGUCUCUGAGACAGGGACUGGAACACAAUGUAUCUGUGAAGGGAUCCCCGAAAAGACUGUGAGAGGGCGGGGAAGUGAUGGGGGAGGGAAGGGAGCCCAUGCAGGAGCGUUAGUGAGCAGGUUAAUGCUGGGGGACCAAGCUCCGUCCCUCUGGAGCCUCUGGGACACCACAGAGCAUGCCUUCAAGUUGUUCCUGACAAAUGACCUGGGAUGCAAGAAACUGGGCGAUUUACCUGCCAAUUCCAAUCACCAUUGGCUGCGACUUGCCUCCGUGGGCCCUAAGUCUCUGACACUUCUCCUCGCCCUCUGCACGGGCUAAGCUGUCUCCCGUGGCCAGAGAAUGUCCUUGGGUCGAGUCACUGGUGCUUGCAUCCAGAAGCUGGACUGGAAAUCAGCCAAGUAAGGAGUCUAUUGUUCUUCAGCCCCGUGUACAUUCCUCCCAGAUGACAGAUCAUAACCAUUGCAACCAGCAAAGUGGAGAAAGCUUGUUUAUGGAGACCACCCGACUGGGGCACGACUGGAUGUCACCCUGCCCCAAAGGCGACGGCCAAAAGGACCAACGCUCAGCCCCUUCGACACAGUCUCCUGGCUAUGUCCACAGAACUUGGCUCAGGGUCGUGGGCUCUCCCUCCGUCCUUACCCGCCAAAACCAAAGAGCCACGCCAGCUCAGAGGUUCCAGAUGGCUCUCACUCUCGAAACGAUCCCACAGGGGCCGUCCUGUAGAACUAAAACAAAACCAGACAGAAAACCAACCCCCUCCUCCCCCCAAACCAGGCAACGAAAGCAUAAACAGAGGUUUCAAGUUUCUCCUAGUAAAGGCAGGCUGGAGCUUGGCCACAGCUGGUGUAGUUCAACUGCUCGAAGACGUCCGUGAAUUCCCUCUCACCUUCCAAGAAUUCCAGAUACUGGCUGUUGCCAGUUUGUUCACAGAUGUCAGGGCUCCCACAAAUGUGGUUGUCUUGACCCCCCUCUCGCGGGGGCAAGACGUUCUGUGGUUGCAGCUGGAAGACCACUGCCAUCAGGAAUGCUAACAUUUUCCCAGAGGCUUCCUCCCCACAGACUCCCGCUUGUGUUUCACUGGCAGAACUGGGUUACUCAGCCUACCCCCUGCCCCCCGCCCUGCCCCCGCAGGACAAAGGAGGCUGACGAAGCUAGAACGGGAUUGCCAUGACUGGCGGAAUCAGGCAGGGUACAUCGCUGCCCCCAGAUAAAGUCUGGGUUCCAUCAGCAAGGAAGAACGUGGGGGGUUGAGUGUCACGGUUAUAUGUCAAGGUACUAUGGCUGCGUGCCAAGCCAUCCCCGAAUUUUGUGGCAUUUACUUUGCCC